rnacentral:rRNA from 1 species
GACGAACCGUCCAAGCGUUAUUCGGAAUCACUGGGCUUAAAGGGUGCGUAGGCGGCGCGGUAAGUUGGGUGUGAAAUCCCUCGGCUCAACCGAGGAACUGCGCCCAAAACUACCGUGCUCGAGGAAGAUAGAGGUGAGCGGAACUUAGGGUGGAGCGGUGAAAUGCGUUGAUAUCCUAAGGAACACCAGUGGCGAAAGCGGCUCACUGGAUCUUUUCUGACGCUGAGGCACGAAAGCUAGGGUAGCGAACGGG